rnacentral:rRNA from 1 species
UGCAAGUCGAGCGAAGCAAUUUAAGUGAAGUUUUCGGAUGGAUCUUAGAUUGACUGAGCGGCGGACGGGUGAGUAACGCGUGGAUAACCUGCCUCACACAGGGGGAUAACAGUUAGAAAUGACUGCUAAUACCGCAUAAGCGCACAGUACCGCAUGGUAUAGUGUGAAAAACUCCGGUGGUGUGAGAUGGAUCCGCGUCUGAUUAGGUAGUUGGUGAGGUAACGGCCCACCAAGCCGACGAUCAGUAGCCGACCUGAGAGGGUGACCGGCCACAUUGGGACUGAGACACGGCCCAAACUCCUACGGGAGGCAGCAGUGGGGAAUAUUGCACAAUGGGCGAAAGCCUGAUGCAGCAACGCCGCGUGAGUGAAGAAGUAUCUCGGUAUGUAAAGCUCUAUCAGCAGGGAAGAAAAUGACGGUACCUGACUAAGAAGCCCCGGCUAACUACGUGCCAGCAGCCGCGGUAAUACGUAGGGGGCAAGCGUUAUCCGGAUUUACUGGGUGUAAAGGGAGCGCAGACGGCACUGCAAGUCUGAAGUGAAAGCCCGGGGCUCAACCCCGGGACUGCUUUGGAAACUGUAGAGCUAGAGUGCUGGAGAGGCAAGCGGAAUUCCUAGUGUAGCGGUGAAAUGCGUAGAUAUUAGGAAGAACACCAGUGGCGAAGGCGGCUUGCUGGACAGUAACUGACGUUCAGGCUCGAAAGCGUGGGGAGCAAACAGGAUUAGAUACCCUGGUAGUCCACGCUGUAAACGAUGAAUACUAGGUGUUGGUGGGCAAAGCCCAUCGGUGCCGCCGCAAACGCAAUAAGUAUUCCACCUGGGGAGUACGUUCGCAAGAAUGAAACUCAAAGGAAUUGACGGG